rnacentral:rRNA from 1 species
AUUGAACGCUGGCGGCAUGCUUUACACAUGCAAGUCGAACGGUAACAGGCCUUCGGGUGCUGACGAGUGGCGAACGGGUGAGUAAUGCAUCGGAACGUACCCAGAGGUGGGGGAUAACGCAGCGAAAGCUGUGCUAAUACCGCAUGUGAUCUGAGGAUGAAAGCGGGGGACCGAGCAGCAAUGUUUGGCCUCGCGCCUUUGGAGCGGCCGAUGUCGGAUUAGCUAGAUGGUGGGGUAAAGGCCUACCAAGGCGACGAUCCGUAGCUGGUCUGAGAGGACGACCAGCCACACUGGGACUGAGACACGGCCCAGACUCCUACGGGAGGCAGCAGUGGGGAAUUUUGGACAAUGGGCGCAAGCCUGAUCCAGCAAUGCCGCGUGCGGGAAGAAGGCCUUCGGGUUGUAAACCGCUUUUGGCAGGAACGAAACGGUGUCCGCUAAUACCGGGCGCUAAUGACGGUACCUGCAGAAUAAGCACCGGCUAACUACGUG